GGGAGCUAAGUGGGGAAAUAAGUGAACCUCUGUAUUUAAUUUUUUAAGAUUCUUUUGUUUCAGGUAUUGUACCGGAGGAUUGGAAGAAGGCAGAUGUUGUUCCUAUAUUUAAAAAGGGUUCAAAAUCCUUGCCUGGAAAUUAUAGACCUGUGAGCUUAACUUCUGUAACUGGGAAAAUAUUUAAAGGGCUAUUAAGGGAUAAUAUUCAGGAAUUCAUUGGGAAGAACUUUGUUAUUAGCAAUAAUCAGCAUGGUUUUAUGAAACAUAGGUCAUGUCAAACUAACCUAAUUGCAUUCUACGAAGAAGUAAGUAGAAGUAUAGAUCAG
rnacentral:lncRNA from 1 species